rnacentral:rRNA from 1 species
GUCUAUGGCCGUACCACCCUAAAUGCUCCCGAUCUCAUCUGGUCUUAGAAGCUAAGUCAGGGUCAGGCCUGAUUACUACUUAAAUGGGAGACAAAUCUACAAAAGAGGCUGCUCAGAGACA